GCCGGGCGUGGUGGCUCACGCCUGUAAUCCUAGAACUUUGGGAGGCUGAGGCGGGUGGAUCACCUGAGGUCAGGAGUUCAAGACCAGCCUGGCCAACAUGGUGAAACCCCAUCUUUA
rnacentral:sRNA from 1 species